GUGAGGAAUAUUGUGCAAUGGAGGCAACUCUGACGCAGCCAUGCCGCGUGCAGGAAGAAGGCGCUACGCGUUGUAAACUGCUUUUAACUGGGAAGAAACCCCAGGACGUGUCCUGGGUUGACGGUACCGGAGGAAUAAGCACCGGCUAACUUCGUGCCAGCAGCCGCGGUAAUACGAAGGGUGCAAGCGUUAUCCGGAUUCAUUGGGUUUAAAGGGUGCGUAGGCGGAGCGUUAAGUCAGUGGUGAAAUCCUGCAGCUUAACUGUAGACUUGCCAUUGAUACUGGCGCUCUUGAGUGCGCUUGAAGUGGGCGGAAUGUGCCGUGUAGCGGUGAAAUGCUUAGAUAUGGCACAGAACACCAAUUGCGAAGGCAGCUCACUAAGGCGAUACUGACGCUGAGGCACGAAAGCGUGGGGAUCGAACAGGAUUAGAAACCCCGGUAGUCC
rnacentral:rRNA from 1 species